rnacentral:rRNA from 1 species
GCUACACAUGCAAGUCGAACGAGAACGGAUAUUAGUUUACUAAUAUUGUCAGCUAAGUGGCGCACGGGUGAGUAAUAUAUAGUUAACCUGCCUCAAAGAAGGGAAUAAUUGUUGGAAACGACUUGUAAUGCCCUAUAUGCCUUUAUUACAUAAGUAAGCAAGGGAAAUAUUUAUAGCUUUGAGAUGGGACUGUACGGUAUCAGAUAGUUGGUGAGGUAAUGGCUCACCAAGUCAAUGACGCCUAACUGGUUUGAGAGGAUGAUCAGUCACACUGGAACUGAGACACGGUCCAGACUCCUACGGGAGGCAGCAGUGGGGAAUAUUGCACAAUGGAGGAAACUCUGAUGCAGCAACGCCGCGUGGAGGAUGACACAUUUCGGUGCGUAAACUCCUUUUAUAUAAGAAGAUAAUGACGGUAUUAUAUGAAUAAGCACCGGCUAACUCCGUGCCAGCAGCCGCGGUAAUACGGGGGGUGCAAGCGUUACUCGGAAUCACUGGGCGUAAAGAGCAUGUAGGCUGGUAGAAAAGUUGGAAGUGAAAUCCUAUGGCUUAACCAUAGAACUGCUUCCAAAACUCUCUACCUAGAAUAUGGGAGAGGUAGAUGGAAUUUCUGGUGUAGGGGUAAAAUCCGUAGAGAUCAGAAGGAAUACCGAUUGCGAAGGCGAUCUACUGGAACAUUAUUGACGCUCAGAUGCGAAAGCGUGGGGAGCAAACAGGAUUAGAUACCCUGGUAGUCCACGCCCUAAACGAUGCACACUAGUUGUUGCUAUACUAGAUAUAGCAGUAAUGCAGUUAACACAUUAAGUGUGCCGCCUGGGGAGUACGGUCGCAAGAUUAAAACUCAAAGGAAUAGACGGGGACCCGCACAAGCGGUGGAGCAUGUGGUUUAAUUCGACGAUACGCGAAGAACCUUACCUGGGCCUUGACAUAGAAAGAACUUUCCAGAGAUGGAUUGGUGCUAGCUUGCUAGAGCUUUCAUACAGGUGCUGCACGGCUGUCGUCAGCUCG